GUGAACAGACUCAGUCGAGCCAGCUGCUGCUUUUUUCCACGUCUUCGAGUGACCAUCGGAUUCUCGAGUCUUCAAAUUUCGGUAGCUGUGACACUGAGCUAUGGCGCUUGGCUGUGCCGGUGCCUCGGAACUGUAAUACUUGGCUAUAGCACCGAGCUGUUCCACUUUGCCACAACAUUCAGAGUGUGUGCCAUCAAGUUACCAGCAUGAGGCUAUAUCCAGUUGCUUUGAUGCCUUCAAAUACCGAGUCCAGUAUCCAAUUCUCAACAAGGCUGGCACUUAAAAAGCAAUGUGUCUGGCACCACCUGCUGAUCAUGUCUGCUGGAUACCUGGGUAUACCCUGUGGGCACCUGCAUGUUCCUCCAGGUUGGCUGGUCUAAAUCUUUAGAAAUGUAGAAGAAAGACUUGAUUCCUUACCCAGGAAUGCUGCAGCAGAUCUUCAAAG